rnacentral:rRNA from 1 species
UACGAAGGGUGCAAGCGUUACUCGGAAUUACUGGGCGUAAAGCGUGCGUAGGUGGUGUGUUAAGUCUGUCGUGAAAGCCCCGGGCUCAACCUGGGAAUGGCGAUGGAUACUGGCUCGCUAGAGUGCGGUAGAGGAGAGUGGAAUUCCCGGUGUAGCAGUGAAAUGCGUAGAGAUCGGGAGGAACAUCAGUUGCGAAGGCGGCUCUCUGGACCAGCACUGACACUGAGGCACGAAAGCGUGGGGAGCAAACAGG